ACAGGUGCAACCAACCUGCUUCUCCAGAGAUCUCCCAAGACAUCAAUAAUGGGGUCAAGGGAAACAGACACCCUUGGGGUCUUCUCCACUUAGCUCCCUUUGGUGACAGGGCUGGACAGCAGCAGCAGGGGAUGGCAAGGCAGGGGAUGGAAGAAAGAAGCAGCUCUUCCUUGAAGUCUUCUGAGACCUCAACAGAGGAAGCUUAUGGGAAU
rnacentral:lncRNA from 1 species